rnacentral:rRNA from 1 species
CAGGCCUAACACAUGCAAGUCGAGCGGUAACAGGUGUAGCAAUACAUGCUGACGAGCGGCGAACGGGUGAGUAAUGCUUUGGAAUCUUCCCAGUAGUGGGGAACAACCAGUCGAAAGAUUGGCUAAUACCGCAUACGUCUGUGAAGAGAAAGCGGGGGAUCGUAAGACCUCGCGCUAUUGGAUGAGCCAAAGUCGGAUUAGCUAGUUGGUGAGGUAAUGGCUCACCAAGGCGACAAUCCGUAGCUGGUCUGAGAGGACGACCAGCCACACCGGAACUGAGACACGGUCCGGACUCCUACGGGAGGCAGCAGUGGGGAAUAUUGGACAAUGGGGGAAACCCUGAUCCAGCGACGCCGCGUGGGUGAUGAAGGCCUUCGGGUUGUAAAGCCCUGUGGGGAGAGACGAAUAAGUCGGAGCUAACACCUCCGAUGAUGACGGUAUCUCCUUAGCAAGCACCGGCUAACUCUGUGCCAGCAGCCGCGGUAAUAC